UACGGAGGGAGCUAGCGUUGUUCGGAAUUACUGGGCGUAAAGCGCACGUAGGCGGCGACUCAAGUCAGAGGUGAAAGCCCGGGGCUCAACUCCGGAAUUGCCUUUAAAACUGCAUCGCUAGAAUUGUGGAGAGGUAAGUGGAAUUCCGAGUGUAGAGGUGAAAUUCGUAGAUAUUCGGAAGAACACCAGUGGCGAAGGCGACUUACUGGACACAUAUUGACGCUGAGGUGCGAAAGCGUGGGGAGCAAACAGG
rnacentral:rRNA from 1 species